UCAAAACUGUCUGGUUUUAUGGGGAUUAGGAUACCUGUGGAAAGUCACGCAUUUUCAUCUGGCAGACCGCUGAUCAGUUGUUGUCAUCUGAACCCAGACUCGUGUUCAAGUACUUGACCUUUACAUUGAAAUUAAUCUUACAAAUCGGCCUUUUCCCUAGAAACCUCUUGACAGAAGUAACUUCCAAGGAUGAAUCAAGACUAUUAUACCGCAUCUAAAAUUAGUAUACAGCAAGGAUAGAGUUUAUUUUCUGUGAUUUGUCUCCCGUACAAACAGAUAUGUGUAUCUAAUAAAGACGGCUGUCAAGAAAAUCGCGUGUUAUUUGAGCUUGACAUGGGGUUGCGUUCGGCUUCAUUAUAAUUCGGGAAUUUGAUUCCCCCAAUUUUUUAUCUGCUGAAUCGAAAGAAAUAACACCAAUCUUUGCUCAAAGUGCAAAAUUUCUGCGAAAAUUCAUGUACCAUCGGUUUUAUAAGCCCCUAAUUUAGACUAUUAUUCAAGUCUACAUUUUUUAUUGACAUGUUUAGACAGCAAUAAAAUAUCCUUUUUUUGUCGGAAAAAGUGAAGAAACCACUCGAUUUAUACCUUAUCAACUCCUUUCUAAGGAUCUGUAUCGCUAUUUUUAAUUCCGCAUAUAUUUAAAGAAUAUUUUGCGAUUUUUUACGCAAGGUGAAAAAUGCCCCCAAAUCGGCGAUUUUAUAGGCAAAAUCGUAAAUUCAGUUUUUCUCAAAAAAAAAUUUAUUGUAUGUAACUCAAACUUUUUUACCAUGAUAAGAGAACCAGGGGCUAACUUUAAACCAAUUUUGGGCGAUUUUGAAAUUUCGUAUUUGGAACUCCUCAGUUGAAUUUAAGGGACUGGUGCACUUAA